AAUAGAUACCCAGGUAGUCCUGGCCCUAAACGAUGUCCACUAGAUCGUGGCGGCUCUGACGUCGUCACGGUCGAAGCAAAAGUGCUAAGUGGACCGCCUGGGAAGUACGGUCGCAAGGCUAAAACUCAAAGGAAUUGACGGGGGCUCACACAAGCGGUGGAGCAUGUGGUUCAAUUCGAAGCAACGCGCAGAACCUUACCUGGGCUUGACAUGCUAGGAUUAUCUCUAUGAAAGUAGAGUAGGCCCUUCGGGGUACAACUAGUACAGGUGCUGCAUGGCUGUCGUCAGCUCGUGUCGUGAGAUGUCGGGUUAAGUCCCUUAACGAGCGAAACCUUUGCCCUUAGUUACCAGCGGGUUAUGCCGGGGACUCUAAGGGGACUGCCGGUGUCAAACCGGAGGAAGGUGGAGAGUGACGUCAAGUCCUCAUGGCCUUUAUGCCCAGGGCCACACACGUGCUACAAUGCGGCGCACAGAGCGAACCGAGAGCGCAAGCUGGAGGAAAUCGCACAAAUCGCCGCCCAGUU
rnacentral:rRNA from 1 species